rnacentral:rRNA from 1 species
CCUACGGGAGGCAGCAGUGAGGAAUAUUGGUCAAUGGCCGGAAGGCUGAACCAGCCAAGCCGCGUGAGGGAGGAAGGCGCAGAGCGUCGCAGACCUCUUUUGCCGGGGGACAAAAGGCCGGACUCGUCCGGUCCUGAGGGUACCCGGAGAAAAAGCAUCGGCUAACUCCGUGCCAGCAGCCGCGGUAAUACGGAGGAUGCGAGCGUUAUCCGGAUUCAUUGGGUUUAAAGGGUGCGCAGGCGGGCCUUUAAGCCGGCGGUUGAAUCGCGGGGCUCAACCCCGCCGAGCCGUCGGAACUGGGGGCCUUGGGGAGGUUUGAGGGAGGCGGAAUGGGUGGUGUAGCGGUGAAAUGCUUAGA